rnacentral:rRNA from 1 species
UCCGUAGGUGAACCUGCGGAAGGAUCAUUGACAACGUCCCUUAUUCUAGACCAAGAACACGUGACCUAUCGAGUACAUGCGUAGUGUGAUGUUCCAUCUAAUCUACGAAGUUGCGCCCUUCUGCCUCAGUUUCUGAGCUUUGGGUGUGCUUAACAACCCUUCGGCACGAACUGUGCCAAGGUAAACCAUGGAAGUCGACGUGGUGGUACCAAGUGUGCUCCACAUCGACUCGUUUGUACUGAUGGAUCCGUUGAUGAUCUCGGAUGACUCUCGGCAACGGAUAUCUUGGUCCUCGCAUCGAUGAAGAACGCAGCGCAUCGAUGAAGAACGCAGCGAAAUGCGAUACUUGGUGUGAAUUGCAGAAUCCCGUGAACCAUCGAGUUUUUGAACGCAAGUUGCGCCCUAAGCUUCCGGGCCGAGGGCAAGUCUGCGUGGGCGUCAAGUUACGUUGCUCUUUCACCCUCCUCGUGUUCAGUUUUCCUCUGGACCAAGGAUAAGGUGUUCGAAGCGGAGAUUGGCCUUCCAUCCCCUCCCAAGGAAUGGUGGGUUGAAGUUCUAUCGCACCGGAAUUCGUGCAAGGUCAUGACAGUUGAAGUAUCGUAGUUCGGGACAAUUUCGUCCGCUACGUCUUACAUGUCAUCCUAGUCGAAACCGUGUCGUAACUAAUGUCCAUGGUACGCUACGCAACGUCGUAGGAUAUCUAUGCCUUGGCUCACUUUGCGACCCCACGUCAGGCUGGAUUACCCGCUGAGUUUAAGCAUAUCAAUAAGCGGAGGA